AUAUUGCUAUCUCAAAUCUUGUCGACCGCAUCAAAAUUGUCCAAGCGAUGGAUGCCUUCCAAUGUAUCAAGCUAAUCCGGAAUAGACGCCCGCAGUUCGUCGAAACGGCGGAUCAAUUCAAACUCUGCUACCGUGCAGUGAACUGCGUAUUGGAGUUUUUCGACGACUACUCAAAUUUCUCGGAAAUAGGUGGAAGUUGAAUUUUUAUACUGUACAAAUUUCUGGAAAAUUUUUUUUGAUGGUUGCUGGAAUGUUACAUGCUCUGCAAUUUUGUCUUCCAUGAAAGAAUAGAAUUCAACAUAAAAA